rnacentral:rRNA from 1 species
GAUGAACGCUGGCGGCGUGCCUAAUACAUGCAAGUCGAGCGAAACUUCUUUAUCACCGAGUGCUUGCACUCACCGAUAAAGAGUUGAGUGGCGAACGGGUGAGUAACACGUGGGCAACCUGCCCAAAAGAGGGGGAUAACACUUGGAAACAGGUGCUAAUACCGCAUAACCAUAGUUACCGCAUGGUAACUAUGUAAAAGGUGGCUAUACUACCGCUUUUGGAUGGGCCCGCGGCGCAUUAGCUAGUUGGUAGGGUAAAGGCUUACCAAGGCAAUGAUGCGUAGCCGAAUUGAGAGGUUGAUCGGCCACAUUGGGACUGAGACACGGCCCAAACUCCUACGGGAGGCAGCAGUAGGGAAUCUUCCACAAUGGGCGAAAGCCUGAUGGAGCAACGCCGCGUGGGUGAAGAAGGUCUUCGGAUCGUAAAACCCUGUUGUUAGAGAAGAAAGUGCGUGAGAGUAACUGUUCACGUUUCGACGGUAUCUAACCAGAAAGCCACGGCUAACUACGUG